CUGGGACUGCUUUGAUGGAGUGCGCAUGUGCAGAGGUGCGCAAAGUGGCUGGUUGAUACUUUGUUCUGGUUACAGGCUGUCCACCAUAUGUCAGUUGUGGAUCCUUUCGUGUCUUUCCUGCAUAAUCUUUUGCACUGUCGGUCCCUGAGGCUGGGAGGCUAGUUAGCUUCGAGUAUUGGUGGUGGUAUAAUCGCGUGGAGUGCAGUGCUGCUUGGAUUCACCUUUCACAGAUUGUGUGUGUGUGUGGGAUGCACGAGUGCGCCAUUAGGAUCCUCACUUCGCCUAGCCUGCCCUUGCCGUUGGAAAGUCUGUGCUGUAUCUUAUUUUUCUUUUGUUUCUUUGAGUAUUCUAAAUGUCUUUAUUCGUAGGAAACAGAGCUCCCUUUUUGUGACCAUGUGAUAUUGAAUUGAUACUGAUUGAUCUUGAGACUUUUAAAUAUUUAUUGUGGAUAUCGAAAAUAAAGUUUUGUACAUUGUU